GAUGAACGCUAGCGGCAGGCUUAACACAUGCAAGUCGAGGGGCAGCGAGAGAGUAGCAAUACUUUUGUCGGCGACCGGCGGACGGGUGCGUAACGCGUAUGCAACCUACCUUAUACAGGGGGAUAACCUUUCGAAAGGGAGACUAAUACCGCAUAACAUUACUUUGAGGCAUCUUGAGGUAAUUAAAUCUUCGGAGGUAUAAGAUGGGCAUGCGUAGCAUUAGCUAGAUGGUGCGGUAACGGCGUACCAUGGCGACGAUACAUAGGGGACUGAGAGGUUAACCCCCACACUGGUACUGAGACACGGACCAGACUCCCACGGGAGGCAGCAGUGAGGAAUAUUGGUCAAUGGACGCAAGUCUGAACCAGCCAUGCCGCGUGCAGGAAGACGGCUCUAUGAGUUGUAAACUGCUUUUGUACAAGGGUAAACCUCGGUACGUGUAACCGAGCUGAAAGUACUGUACGAAUAAGGAUCGGCUAACUCCGUGCCAGCAGCCG
rnacentral:rRNA from 1 species